CCGGUUAUGCAAUUCCCAAAGCUUGUAGCUCACACGCGUACACUGACUUAGCACUCACACAAUACGGUAAUUUUAUCUGUUAAAAAGCAACGUCAAUACCUGUUUCACUGAUUCAGAUUUGUGCAAUAAUAGUCCUGAUCUUCUUCUACAGUAAGCAGACAAAAUACUGAAGGUAUUUUUCCAAGAAGUUUAGUCCGAUCCGAUCAUCAUGUUUAAAAUGCAGCCCCCAGGCCCACCACCAGAACAGUCUAAGGAAGAGCAUGACAUGAUGAGGAAAUCCGUCUAUGGCAAUGUCACCAUCUUUGCUGCAAUAGUUGCUGCAUUGAGAUUAACUCCCAUUGUGUUGGAUCAACUAGGCUUCUAUGAAUCAUGAUAGUCUCUGCUACCUGGAAACGUGUUUGGAUCCUGUCACAAUACAAUCAAUGGAAACCUCACCCUAAAGAAUAAUUGUAGGCAUGCUGAAAGAUAACUUUUAUUCAUGCCUAUUGAUCGCCAAUAUUCCUUACUUUUAUAUUAUAAUUGAAUAUAUUCUUGGCAUCGUGUCUGUCUUUUAAGCAUGACAAGGGCAUGGGAAGGAGAUAUUCAUGAAUUUGAAUACAUUUACUUUAUGAUGGAGUUCGCAUUACGCUAUGUUAUCAAGAAAAUGGUGAUGCCCAUGUUAUGCUAAGACACUUAACAUUGCACUGAUGUUAUAUUCCUCUCUCAUAAACUUUGCUGGAGAAUCUUGUAGAUUAAUGGGAAUACAAUAAAUCUCUCAGAAUGACUUAAGUUGUUUCUUGGGGGUAGGUUUCCUUUAAUCUAUUUUAUGUACAUUGGAACCUAGUCAUAAGAACCUCUUUUGGGCCAAAGAAAUUAACUUUGCUAUAUUGAAACUUAUUAUGUUUGCGCUAAAAACAAACAAGAAAGCAAACACACAAAUAAUAGAAGGCAAAGAACUGUGUGGGACUGGCAAAAUUACCUAGAUGUAAUGAAAGUUUGUUAUAUCACUGCUCUGUAUAACAUGGUUUCACUAUACAUAAAUACUAUGUUAUCUCUUUGUAUUUUAUCAAAUAUUAGUAUUUAGAUGCUUGCAAUUUAGCAGUUCAUAUCAUGUAUAUGUAAUGUCAUUGGCAGUAAAUGUCAUAUUGCAGACAAACCAGGGAUAUGUGAGUUUAAAAGAAUCUUCACAUAAGCGAUGAUGUCUCACGGUUUGAUUUGUAUGCAAAUUGUGUGUAUGUUCAUGUAAGAGUAUGAAAAACGAAAGGAAAGCGUAAGCCAGAGAAGCAAAUAAGGAAUUUCAGUUCUAAAGAGACAUAUCGUCAUAUUACAUGAAUAUUCACUUCUGGCAUAAGUCAUGAACAUAAUUUACAUUUUAUGUAUGCCAGGGUGAGUCCAAAGCUCCACACAAAAUUCAUCAGGCUUGUGAGUUGUGAGCAAAUAUUAGGGGCCUGUGGCAUUCAUUGGACCUGUUUCUAUUGAUUUUCUCUCUUUUUUAAAAUCAUGAGCUUUGUAGCUCAUUCUUGAAGUAAUGUCGAAAUUUGUAUUAAAUACAUGCUAGGUUCAUGAUAUUAAAAAAAUAAUAACAAUAAAA